rnacentral:misc_RNA from 1 species
AAAAAAAAAAGUUCAAAUUCAUUUGGCAAUCAUGCAAAAAUAAUUUACAAUUUCCUAAGCGAAAACUAAUUCUUAACCCACUAUCACAUGAACAUUUUUUAUUUGAUGACAGGUGUAAAAAUGUUGACAAUAGUGUUUAGAACAGGAAAUUAGACCACUUUACUAAAUAAAUAAAUUACUCCAAAAACCCUCAGUUGCCGGCAAACAUUUGAACAUACAUGGAUCCCAAUUCAGCUGCCAGCUGAUGGGCAGGCAUUAAUGAUUAGUUCUGUUUUAGCAGGAAAUCUAAAACACUCAUCACUCACAGCCAGGUGAGACAAGUUAAUUGACUAGCUGCGCACAGAUCAUAUAAAUAAUGAAUUGGCAAGGGCAAAACUACCAAAAUAAGCUCAGGCAUGUGUCAUUACAAAAUAAUGAUCUAGAUCCAAACAUACAUCCACGAUAAACCCCAACAGCUCACAAUAAGAAUUAUGUACUGAUGAUCAUAGUUACAUUCUUAAAGACAUAGAUACAUCAGAAACACAGCCUUAGUAUGUUAGAAUGCUGACCAAAAGAACAAAGAGUAUGUGAUCCAUAAGUGUCUUCUUAGUUAUGUUAAUGAAACAUAAACCAAGAUGAAGUUUAAGAAACUGUGGUAAAGAUAGUUUCUAAAUUU